rnacentral:rRNA from 1 species
AUUGAACGCUGGCGGCAGGCCUAACACAUGCAAGUCGAACGAGUGGCGGACGGGUGAGUAAUGUAUGGGAAACUGGCUGAUGGAGGGGGAUAACAACGGGAAAAGGUCGCUAAUACCGCAUACCAUCGGAUGUGCCCAGAUGGGCUUAGAUAGUAGGUGGGGUAAAGGCUCAACUAGGCGAAGAUCCCUAGGUGGUCUGAGAGGAUGACCAGCCACACUGGUACUGAGACACGGGCCAGACGUCGACGGUAGGCAGCAGUGGGGAAUAUUGCACAAUGGGCGCAAUCCUGAUGCAGCAAUGACGCGUGUAUGAAGAAGGCCUGCGGGUUGUAAAGUACGUGCAGCGGGGAGGCGUAACCCGCAGAAUAAGCACCGGCUAACUCCGUGCCAGCAGCCGCGGUAAUAG